AUCGCUUCUCGGCCUUUUGGCUAAGAUCAAGUGUAGUAUCUGUUCUUAUCAGUUUAAUAUCUGAUACGUCCUCUAUCCGAGGACAAUAUAUUAAAUGGAUUUUUGGAACAGGGAGAUGGAAUAGGAGCUUGCUCCGUCCACUCCACGCAUCGACCUGGUAUUGCAGUACUUCCGGGAACGGUGCACCUCCC
ensembl:snRNA U2 U2 spliceosomal RNA